rnacentral:hammerhead_ribozyme from 1 species
CGCCGAAACGCCCCCCUUCGGGGGGGGGGCGUAUAAGGGGAAAAGGGCAACCCCUUACUGAUGAGGCAGCCCGAA